rnacentral:rRNA from 6 species
AAUUUUUAUGGAGAGUUUGAUCCUGGCUCAGGAUGAACGCUGGCGGCGUGCCU